CAUGAAGCCUAAGCCAACUCCAGCUCCUUACUACUACCAUUCUCCUCCACCACCAUCGCCGACAUACGUAUACAAGUCACCACCUCCUCCAUCACCCAAAUACGUGUACAAAUCACCACCUCCUCCAUCACCUAAAUACGUGUACAAGUCGCCACCCCCUCCAUCACCUGAAUAUGUGUACAAGUCCCCACCCCCUCCAACCCCAACUUACGUGUACAAGUCACCACCACCUCCAUCACCUGAAUACGUAUACAAGUCCCCACCACCUCCAUCACCGAAGUACGUGUAUAAAUCCCCCCCACCGCCACCAUACUACUACAAGUCCCCCCCACCUCCAUCACCUGAGUACGUAUACAAGUCUCCCCCACCUCCAUCCCCAAAGUACGUGUACAAGUCCCCGCCCCCUCCAUCACCUGAAUACGGGGACAAGUCCCCACCACCUCCCUCACCCGAAUACGUGUACAAGCCCCCACCCCCUCCAUCACCUGAAUACGGGGACAAGUCCCCACCACCUCCCUCACCCGAAUACGUGUACAAGCCCCCACCCCCUCCAUCACCUGAAUACGGGGACAAGUCCCCACCACCUCCCUCACCCGAAUACGUGUACAAGCCCCCACCCCCUCCAUCACCUGAAUACGGGGACAAGUCCCCACCACCUCCCUCACCCGAAUACGUGUACAAGCCCCCACCCCCUCCAUCACCUGAAUACGGGGACAAGUCCCCACCACCUCCCUCACCCGAAUACGUGUACAAGCCCCCACCCCCUCCAUCACCUGAAUACGGGGACAAGUCCCCACCACCUCCCUCACCCGAAUACGUGUACAAGCCCCCACCCCCUCCAUCACCUGAAUACGGGGACAAGUCCCCACCACCUCCCUCACCCGAAUACGUGUACAAGCCCCCACCCCCUCCAUCACCUGAAUACGGGGACAAGUCCCCACCACCUCCCUCACCCGAAUACGUGUACAAGCCCCCACCCCCUCCAUCACCUGAAUACGGGGACAAGUCCCCACCACCUCCCUCACCCGAAUACGUGUACAAGCCCCCACCCCCUCCAUCACCUGAAUACGGGGACAAGUCCCCACCACCUCCCUCACCCGAAUACGUGUACAAGCCCCCACCCCCUCCAUCACCUGAAUACGGGGACAAGUCCCCACCACCUCCCUCACCCGAAUACGUGUACAAGCCCCCACCCCCUCCAUCACCUGAAUACGGGGACAAGUCCCCACCACCUCCCUCACCCGAAUACGUGUACAAGCCCCCACCCCCUCCAUCACCUGAAUACGGGGACAAGUCCCCACCACCUCCCUCACCCGAAUACGUGUACAAGCCCCCACCCCCUCCAUCACCUGAAUACGUAUACAAGUCUCCACCACCUCCAUCACCGAAGUACGUGUAUAAAUCCCCACCACCGCCACCAUACUACUACAAUUCUCCUCCACCACCGUCGCCAUCUC
rnacentral:lncRNA from 1 species